UAUUGAAGUAGAAAAGAUUAUUUGCAUUUGCAUGGUUGUUUUGUUUGAACAUUUCUUCUUCUUCUUCUUCUUCUGGAGGCAGUGAUGAACGGUUGUUGUGUUGUGUUGUGUUGUGUUGUAUGGCGAGGCGUUUCUUCUUUCUAACGCAGCCACACACACCCAUUUUUUCUUUCUUUCUGAGCCUCCCAUCCUUUUCUUUGUCACCACAUUGCAUUUCAACUUUGUGAGUGAGUUUCUUACUUCACUUCACUCUCGCUUUGUUUCUCUCUUUUUCACCUUCUUCAUUUCAUUUUCUUUUUUUCUCUUCUUCUUCUCUUCGAGGACGAGGCUGUGAUGAUCGAUCAAAACAGAACAGAGUAGUCUCAUGGCGAGGCGACUCCCGCAGCCAUGCUUCUGUUCUCUCUCUCUGAGCCUCCCUCCUUUUCUUCUUUCUACACCCCCUUAAUACAUUAUUAGGGUUUCAAGUCUCUCUUUUUCACCUCAUUUCUUACUUCUCAGCUACAAACAAAUUUCAUGAUAUUCAUUUUCUUCAACAAAUGAGGAAUGAGAGGCUGAUAUAGAUUAGGUUUUAUGUCUGUCUGGUUUCAGUAUGAAUCAAUGUUAAAUCCAGAGACAAAAGACUCUUUAAGGAUGAAAUGAGUUAUGUAUAACUCUCUCUCUCUCUCUCUCUCCCUCCCUCCCUCUCUCUCGUUUUUUACCGCUUCUUUCUUUUCAGGUUGUGGCACAAACAAAACACAAGAUGUCAAUAUCUGUAGAAGCUCAAGAAAUUUGAUAUUUAUUUUGACGAAGAAAUCAGGUGGUGGUACAAGCAAAACACAAGAUGUCAAUAUCUAUACAUGCUUAACAAAUUUGAUAUUGAUUUUGUUGAAGAAAUGAGUGCUUUCGUUUGUAGUCUUUCAGAGUCAACUUUGGAGCUGCUAGAUGACCUAUUUAGCUCUUUUUAAAUUUCAAAAUGGGAAGAGGCUAAAGAUAUAAAUUGAUUAAAAUCUUCAUACCGAUGGCAAAAAGGAAGAGCCUAAAGGUUUCAAAAGAUCCACUUCAGAGUGAACGUUGGAGCUGAGCACCUAUUUAGGUCUGUUUCAAUCUUCAAAAUGUGAAGAGCCUAAAGUGCUUUUGAUUGGAGUCUUUCAAAAGAUCCACUUCAGAGUGAACUUUGGAGCUGCUUGUUUACCUAUUUAGGUCUUUUUCAAUCAUCAAAAUGGGAAGAGCCUGAAGGUGCUACAAGCGGGACACGAGAUCCCAAUAUAUAAAUGGGAAGUUGAUUCUGCUGAAGAAAUGGGGUACAUUUGCCAUACGGAUUUUCAUAUUCAGAAGAAUCAUCAAGCCAAAUAAUAAGGAUUCGUACGAGUACUCUUGAUCAUAUAUUGCAAGCUGGUCUGUCUUUGGGAGCUUGAUCAUAAAAUCAGAAAUUUGGUCCUCAAUUAUUCUUCUCCAGUCAAGCCAAACUUGGUCCCCAAAUUUUGGAUGUUAUAAAUUGUAAAUACGAAUAAAUUACAUGCCCUGUAAUUGUUAUCUUCUUUACUUUAUACGUUUUGGGUAUGAGUUACAUUGUUCUCUUGGGUACAAUUAUGAGGGUAACUUCCAUUUAAAAUA